UGGAGACACUGGUAUGGCAUACAGGUAAGAUGUAAGGGUACAUCUACACUGAACGUGACCGACUCUGGAGCUAUUUCUACUAUCAAGAUUUGCUCCGAUGGAAUAUAGGUAUAAAUAUCCUUCCGACCUGGGACCGCCACGGUGACUUGCAAGCAACUCACUGUACUUAGGCACUGGACUACCUGAAUUUUUAAUUCAGUGACGGAAGGCUGCUGGGUGUAGUCAAGUACUUGACUUGUCGGUGCGUGUGUCAAGAUGGGAUUGACCACUCCAGUUUAGGAGCUGUGUACAGUCAUGUUUCAAUUUAGCAAAACCUUGGCCAAGGUAGUCCUUGUGAGGAGUCACAGGACUGUUUGAGUUGAGCACGAUUCGGAUGAUCUAAUCA
rnacentral:lncRNA from 1 species